GUGUGGCUUGUUCUCAACACAUUCCUGAAAGCAGCAGCAACUUCUGAAACCGACCUCUUCUCUGCAUAUCAGUUCUCCAACAGGGUCACAAACAUUAUCCCCAAAGCUCUGCUGUUCGGGUUGCGAUUCAUCUGCCGCGCAUGAGGAUCCUUGACACUUCAGGUAUCCAAAGAAUAAAACCUGAAAUCAGAGACUAGAAGCAGAAAAUCUGGAGGUUCUGACUUACAUGGCUUCCUGCUUCAGAUUAAUAAGAAACCAGUCCAUCAUCUGCCGCCAGCUGGACCCAGUGGAUCUCAGUGCUGCUUGCCAUCAGAAAUCUGAAC